rnacentral:tRNA from 1 species
GGUCCAAUGGUCUAGAGGUAUGAUUCACCCUUAGGGAGCGCAAGUUCUUAUCUGGGUGAGGUCCCGCGUUCGAUUCGCGGUUGGACCC